UGCACCUCCUCUCCCCAGGACGGCCUUGGCCGGUUCAGAAAUGCUCAGCUGGAGGAGGGCAAAGUCAGGGAGAGGAGACCGUUCCUGGCCUCAGAAUGUACUGAGCUGCCGAAAGCAGAGAAGUGGAGACGACAGAUUAUCAGUGAGAUCUCCAAGAAAGUUGCUCAGAUUCAAAACGCUGGUCUGGGAGAGUUUAAGAUCCGGGACCUGAAACGAUGAGAUCAAUAAGCUGCUGAGAGAGAAAGGUCACUGGGAGGUCAGGAUCAAGGAGCUGGGAGGACCUGACUACGGGGUAAUGGAGUUGGGAGAUUUCAACCUUUAUCCUAUGGUGGUUAUGUGCCCCCUCCAUCCAGUUAUG